AUUCACUUGAAAAUAUAAAUGUACAGCAUCUACUUCGUAUAGGCAACAUUGACAUACAUCAAUAUAAAGAUUGGAACGUGUAUUUGUAUUACUAUAGCAGCAACGUGAAUUGUAAUUUCACGAACAUGAAGUGUAAUUCUUCUCAAGAACAACAUACGGGUUUGGCGCACUACUUCGAUCACGUUGUACCGUUUUAUCGCGUUGUUGAAUUUGGCUAUUCUUGAAGGGGAGUAAGGUGGAAGAAGAAUAUUUCUUGGCAUAUAAGGUUGUUUGGUGGUUGUUGAGUUGAGCAUCUGCUGGAAUUUAAAGAUUUGAUAUGAUUAUUUCUGUGAUCGUUGUUGUUGGUAUUGUUGUGAUAAUCGGAGAUUAAUUGGAAGUUCGGGUUAGGCGAAUUAUAUAGAGGAAAUGCUGCCCAAUUUCCGUUAAGUUCUUAAUUAAUCAAAAUACUAAUCAAGAAGUAUGAACUAAGAAGUGAUUCCCAUAAGUGAUUGGCCGUAAAUUUAUAAGUUUGGGAAGUCGUAGUUUAUUAACAAUAGUGUUACUCUCAUAUUAAAUAGGCUAAAGGGGCGACGAAGCAUGCUUGGUUACGGUUGAUCUACGACAGGUAUGUAAAGCUAACCCUUCUUUCUUUUGGCAUGGUCUUUAUGAAACAAACAGAUGACGUAUAUAUGACUCCAAAGAAGCUCUUAUUCUUAGAGCCACUAAGAUGGCUAAUGUUCUUGAUUCUCAGAACUUACUUUAUUAGGUCUUGAUACGUAUCUAUGAUAUUCUUGAGCCGGAAGCGGCUGCCCGAAGGGGCCACCCUAGCUAAGCCGGAAGCGGCUGCCCGAAGGGGCCAUCAUUAUUAUGCCGGAAGCGGCCGUCCGAAGGGACUAAUGUGAUACUAGCCGGAAGCGGCCGUCCGAAGGGACUAUUCUGUUAAGAUGUCGGAAGCGGCAUAUGUGUUGGAUUGCAUUAUUUACUUAAAGAUUAGUUUGAGACUUCGUGUGCACAUUUAUGUUUCUUCCAGCGAAGGCUGCAAGUAUUAAGUUAGAUUGUGAUUUCUUCUCUCCUAAGUCAAAUUAUGAUUAUGACUUGUUACCACCUUACAUACUCAGUACAUUGUCCGUACUGACGUCCUUUUGCCUGCGGACGCUGCGUUCAUGCCCGCAGCCCCAGAUUGUUUGGCAGGUUAAGUGUAUAGCUAGGAUGCUUGGACGUCAGCUGGGAUUGGCAAGUUCCACCUCAUUCUGGAGCUGUGCUGAGUCAUGUAUCGAUAUGUAUGAUUAUGGGUAUGUUAGGGCCCUGUCCUGACUCAUAAUGUUCAGUUUACUUCUUAGAGACUUCUGCAGACUAAUGUUUGUCGAGAUGUCGACAAAGUGAUGUCAGUUGAGUCA